GUCGAACGCUUUGUCUUUAAUUGAUCUGACGAGCUUGCUCUGAAGUGAUUUUCUUUGACAGAGAGUGGCGAACGGGUGAGUAACACGUGGGUAACCUACCUCUUAGCAGGGGAUAACAUUUGGAAACAAGUGCUAAUACCGUAUAAUACCAACAACCGCAUGGUUGUUGAUUGAAAGAUGGUUCUGCUAUCACUAAGAGAUGGACCCGCGGUGCAUUAGCUAGUUGGUAAGGUAACGGCUUACCAAGGCGAUGAUGCAUAGCCGAGUUGAGAGACUGAUCGGCCACAAUGGGACUGAGACACGGCCCAUACUCCUACGGGAGGCAGCAGUAGGGAAUCUUCCACAAUGGGCGCAAGCCUGAUGGAGCAACGCCGCGUGUGUGAUGAAGGGUUUCGGCUCGUAAAACACUGUUAUAAGAGAAGAACGGCACUGAGAGUAACUGUUCAGUGUGUGACGGUAUCUUACCAGAAAGGAACGGCUAAAUACGUGCCAGCAGCCGCGGUAAUACGUAUGUUCCAAGCGUUAUCCGGAUUUAUUGGGCGUAAAGCGAGCGCAGACGGUUAUUUAAGUCUGAAGUGAAAGCCCUCAGCUCAACUGAGGAAUGGCUUUGGAAACUGGAUGACUUGAGUGCAGUAGAGGAAAGUGGAACUCCAUGUGUAGCGGUGAAAUGCGUAGAUAUAUGGAAGAACACCAGUGGCGAAGGCGGCUUUCUGGACUGUAACUGACGUUGAUGCUCGAAAGUGUGGGUAGCAAACAGGAUUAGAUACCCUGGUAGUCCACACCGUAAACGAUGAGUGCUAGAUGUUCGAGGGUUUCCGCCCUUGAGUGUCGCAGCUAACGCAUUAAGCACUCCGCCUGGGGAGUACGACCG
rnacentral:rRNA from 1 species